rnacentral:tRNA from 1 species
GGGCCGGUAGAUCAGUUGGAAGAUCACCACGCUUGCAACGUGGAGGCCUCGGGUUCAAAUCCCGACCGGUCCA